rnacentral:rRNA from 1 species
ACUCAAAUGAAUUGACGGGGGCCCGCACAAGCGGAGGAGCAUGUGGUUUAAUUCGAUGAUACGCGAGGAACCUUACCAGGGCUUAAAUGGGAGACGACAGAUCUGGAAACAGAUUUUUCUUCGGACGUCUUUCAAGGUGCUGCAUGGUUGUCGUCAGCUCGUGCCGUGAGGUGUCAGGUUAAGUCCUAUAACGAGCGCAACCCCUAUUGUUAGUUGCCAGCGGGUCAUGCCGGGAACUCUAACAAGACUGCCGGUGCAAACCGUGAGGAAGGUGGGGAUGACGUCAAAUCAUCACGGCCCUUACGUCCUGGGCUACACACGUGCUACAAUGGACGGUACAGAGAGCAGCCACCACGCAAGUGGGCGCGAAUCUUCAAAGCCGUUCUCAGUUCGGAUCGGAGUCUGCAACUCGACUCCGUGAAGCUGGAUUCGCUAGUAAUCGCAGAUCAGCCAUGCUGCGGUGAAUACGUUCCCGGGCCUUGUACACACCGCCCGU